rfam:Gossypium raimondii scaffold_723_contig_1, whole genome shotgun sequence.
GAGUGCGAUGAUACUAGCACUAAUGCAUGGUAUCCCAUCAGAACUCCGCAUUGAAGCGUGCUUGGGUGAGAGUAGUACGAGGAUGGGUGACACCCUGGGAAGUCCUCGUGCUGCACCCA